GGAAGGAUGGCAGAGUCCGGUUUAUUGCGGCAGUCUUGAAAACUGUUGACGUCGUGAGGCGUCCGGGGGUUCGAAUCCCUCUCCUUCCGCCA
rnacentral:tRNA from 3 species